UACGGAGGGGGGCGAGCGUUAUUCGGAAUUAUUGGGCGUAAAGGGCGCGUAGGCGGCUUGAUAAGUCAAAGGUGAAAUCCCUCGGCUUAACCGGGGAACUGCGUCUGAUACUGGAUGGCUAGAGGUUGGGAGAGGGAUGCGGAAUUCCAGGUGUAGCGGUGAAAAUGCGUAGAUAUCUGGAGGAACACCGGUGGCGAAGGCGGCAUCCUGGACCGACACUGACGCUGAGGCGCGAAAAGCGUGGGGGAGCAACAGG
rnacentral:rRNA from 1 species